rnacentral:rRNA from 1 species
UACAGAGGUGGCAAGCGUUGUUCGGAAUUACUGGGCGUAAAGGGCGCGUAGGCGGCCUUCUAAGUCAGACGUGAAAUCCCCCGGCUUAACCUGGGAACUGCGUCUGAUACUGGGGGGCUUGAGUGCGGGAGAGGGAUGUGGAAUUCCAGGUGUAGCGGUGAAAUGCGUAGAUAUCUGGAGGAACACCGGUGGCGAAGGCGGCAUCCUGGACCGACACUGACGCUGAGGCGCGAAAGCUAGGGUAGCAAACGGG